GACGAACGCUGGCGGCGUGCUUAACACAUGCAAGUCGAACGAUGAAGCCUUUCGGGGNGGAUUAGUGGCGAACGGGUGAGUAACACGUGGGCAAUCUGCCCUGUACUUUGGGAUAAGCCCUUGGAAAACGGGGUCUAAUACCGGAUAUGACUGGCCUUCGCAUGGGGGUUGGUUGGAAAGUUCUGGCGGUACAGGAUGAGCCCGCGGCCUAUCAGCUUGUUGGUGGGGUAA
rnacentral:rRNA from 1 species